rnacentral:lncRNA from 1 species
AGGGUCUCUUGCUGGAUGGGAACGGAAUUCAUGGAGAUGUCUUCCUUUCCUUGAGCAUUGAUGCAGCCCAAGUUCCUACACUGGGCCUGUACAACUUCCGAGGGGUACCGGUUGGGGUCCCAAGUGACACUGCAGGAGGAGCAAGCCAAAGCACAAUGGAAAAUUUGUGAAUUCUAUCCUAGAACUACAUGAAGCAGAAAAAGGCACAAAGUCUAUGAGAACGUGGAAGCAAAAUAUUAGGACCAUCAACCACAAAGGUGAACCUAGUCCAAAACAAGAAAGAUA